rnacentral:misc_RNA from 1 species
AAGUCGUAACAAUCUUGUUGGUGUCUGAAAGUGUCACAGCUCUGUACGAAUGGCGCAGUCACGAUCGCUAGAGGCGACACGGCCGGCGACCGGGUCACUGGGCGCGAGCCCCCCUCGUCACCUUUGCAUGAAAACGGGCCUGCGCUUAAUUGUGCGGCCACCAAACUCGAACAACUGUUAACAAUGGAUAUCUUGGUUCUC